CGGAGGCGGCGGCUUUCCCGGCAGCGGUGGCGUUGGCCGUGCCGGGCAUCUUGUCCGCGCUCACCGCUCCCGCGGCGCAGUGGCCGAGCCCUGCGGCCCCGCGUCCCCUGGGCAGCCCCUGCUCCGGGUGUCGUCGGUGAGUGGAAGAGCGGCCCUGCUCCGGGCGAGGCCGGCAGACCAGCACUUCCUUUCUAAUGAGAAGGCAGUCAUCCAAAAACCAGCUUAAUGAAAAUGCUGCAUUGCACUGGAUUAUUCCUGCUGUAUACUGCUGAGGAAUGAAGUGUAUGGCUUUGGGAGCUUCUGAAACAAAGUACCUGCAGUGCUUUUGUGAUACUGCUAUUUUUUGUCAUCAGACAAUCUGGAAUACCUGGAAACACAGAUUUGUUUGUGAGUUGCCCUUUACAGAUUUUUAUAUAGUAAGGUUUUGAAGAAAAUGUUUUCAAUUAACAUUAGGUCUUUUUCAUCCUGAAGUUUAAUUGGGAUAUAGUAAUAUCUCCUUAUAGUCUACAUGGAGGAAUCUGGCCCUACAUGUACUGCUCUAGUCUCUGAUUGCUAAGUAUAAACUUUUCACCACAAAAAAAAAAAAAUCUGAAUGCUUUUUCCAUUUGCCAUAUUCCUGUUUGUAUACAUUAAUUUACCUUAUUAAAAGUACAUAACUUAUUCUAGAUGUAUUGACACUCACUAUUGCAGUAUUACAUUUUAUAUGCAAAUGAGAUACAUAUAAUUUCUGCAAAAUUCACAGUACCUGAAGUAGGAUAUUCAAGAUCAACUCAAGGUGAUAUUUUCCAGAGAGGAUAGAGAACUUUCUAUGACAUAGAAAGUUCAUAUUUUAAAUGUUACAUGUUGCCUGUUUUGAUAUUAUACAUUCUCAUUCCUAUUCUUGCAUUAGACUUUUUCUCAGUUGUAAUAUUUAGAAAAAUACUUAUUUUAUUAUCAGAAUUUAUUCUGCUAUAUUUUUAUGUUCUUUUGAAAAUAAUUUAUGUGCAUAGAAUUUUAUAUUAAUUUAUAUUACAAUAUUUGGGAAACUUGAUAGUGCCACCUACUGCUGGAAAACAAACUUUUUAAAAACUUGUUAGUUUGUGUACCUUCAGAUUAAAGGGCAAUGUAAGAAAAUUUCUGUUGAAAUAGCAACUUUCAAACUUCUGAAAAAUGAUCGAGACAAGUCCUGACUUGCCAAGUCAGCUUCAGUCACUGAAUUUCUGACCUUUCAACCAGUGAGUAUUUUGACCGAAACUGUAAUGAGAAGUGACUCUGAGGAUCUGAGAUUUUGAGGUUUUUUGAUGUUACAUUUUUAAUAAAGAAUUUUAGUUUAAAAUCAGUCCCUGUGAUAUCCCUAAAAAAACACUGAUGAAAGGAAUCAGUGAAGCAAUAUCUAUUUUUCACUUAAUGGUAGGAAGACAUCCUCUGUUUUACAAGGUCUCUGCAUGAAAUGUAAACCAAGCAGCCUUGAAUUAGCAUCACAUGUGACACAACUUCUGUUCCCUUCUUACAUCACAGAGUCAUGAGAUGGACCAUAGAUCCCUGCUUGCUAAUUGGCAUAAGAUGGCAUGUUUUCAGCCACCAUGGCUGGAAUUCACCCUCCCUAUCCCCUACUGUCUAAAAGCUAGAUGGGGUUAACCUACAAUCUGAAGUACAGUACUGGUUCUUUCGUGUCUUCAUGGAGAUGACCCUGUCUCUAGGACUGGUGAAAUAGUUACCAUAUGCCCACAACCUUUGCCCACAUCCCAGACAUUAAGAAUUGGUUAUGAUUUCGUUCCCAGGAACUGUGGAAAUACAGGAAGUGGUAAGACUUUGUACAUGAAUAUGAGUAAGUAGAAUAUACACCCUUAAUCUUCCUGAGGAAAGUUCAGCUUUAAAUUUGACUCAGAGGAGUCAGGAGCAGUUGAUCUUCUGCUGGUACUUGUCUCAUCCUGUAGAAUAAGCUGGCAUUGAUAUGAUUUGAAUGCGUGAUUGUCAGAGUUGCUGUCUUGUUACAGCUUGAUGAAUUAACCUUAGACAUCAAGUUCCUUUCAAUUUGAAAAAUUCUUCAGAACAAUGUAUUAAAAGAGAUAAAAGAU